UACGGGGGGGAGCAAGCGUUGUUCGGAUUUACUGGGCGUAAAGGGCGCGUAGGCGGUCAGCACAAGUCAGUUGUGAAAUCUCCGGGCUUAACUCGGAAAGGUCAACUGAUACUGUGCGACUAGAGUGCAGAAGGGGCAACUGGAAUUCUCGGUGUAGCGGUGAAAUGCGUAGAUAUCGAGAGGAACACCGAUGGCGAAGGCAAUCCCCUGGGCCUGCACUGACGCUCAUGCACGAAAGCGUGGGGAGCAAACAGG
rnacentral:rRNA from 1 species